rnacentral:tRNA from 15 species
GGGGAUGUAGCUCAGCUGGGAGAGCAUCACGUUCGCAACGUGGGGGCCGAGGGUUCGAAUCCCUUCAUCUCCACCA